ACGCUCGACACCUACGGGAGCAGCAGUGGGGAAUAUUGCACAAUGGGGGAAACCCUGAUGCAGCGACGCCGCGUGAGCGAAGAAGUAUCUCGGUAUGUAAAGCUCUAUCAGCAGGGAAGAAGAUGACGGUACCUGACUAAGAAGCACCGGCUAAAUACGUGCCAGUAGCCGCGGUAAUCUGAGCGGGCUGGCAAGGC
rnacentral:rRNA from 1 species